rnacentral:rRNA from 1 species
ACGAACGCUGGCGGCGUGCUUAACACAUGCAAGUCGAACGGUGAAGCGCCUUCCUUUUUGGUGGGUGUGGAUGAGUGGCGAACGGGUGAGUAACACGUGAGUAACCUGCCCCCUUCUUCUGGAUAACCGCAUGAAAGUGUGGCUAAUACGGGAUAUUCUGGGUCUGUCGCAUGAUGGGUCUGGGAAAGAUAUUGUUUCGGUGGGGGAUGGGCUCGCGGCCUAUCAGCUUGUUGGUGGGGUGAUGGCCUACCAAGGCGGUGACGGGUAGCCGGCCUGAGAGGGUGGACGGUCACACUGGGACUGAGACACGGCCCAGACUCCUACGGGAGGCAGCAGUGGGGAAUAUUGCACAAUGGGCGAAAGCCUGAUGCAGCGACGCCGCGUGAGGGAUGGAGGCCUUCGGGUUGUGAACCUCUUUCGCCAGUGAAGCAGGCCUGCCUCGUUUGUGGGUGGGUUGACGGUAGCUGGAUAAGAAGCGCCGGCUAACUACGUG